rnacentral:rRNA from 1 species
AUUGAACGCUGGCGGCAUGCCUUACACAUGCAAGUCGAACGGUAACAGGUCUUCGGAUGCUGACGAGUGGCGAACGGGUGAGUAAUGCAUCGGAACGUGCCCAGUUGUGGGGGACAACUGCUCGAAAGAGCAGCUAAUACCGCAUACGACCUGAGGGUGAAAGCGGGGGAUCGCAAGACCUCGCGCAAUUGGAGCGGCCGAUGUCAGAUUAGGUAGUUGGUGGGGUAAAGGCCUACCAAGCCGACGAUCUGUAGUUGGUCUGAGAGGACGACCAGCCACACUGGGACUGAGACACGGCCCAGACUCCUACGGGAGGCAGCAGUGGGGAAUUUUGGACAAUGGGCGCAAGCCUGAUCCAGCAAUGCCGCGUGCAGGAAGAAGGCCUUCGGGUUGUAAACUGCUUUUGUCAGGGAAGAAAUCCUCUGGGUUAAUACCCCGGGGGGAUGACGGUACCUGAAGAAUAAGCACCGGCUAACUACGUGCCAGCAGCCGCCGCAGUAA